GGGCCAGUGGCGCCAUGGAUAACGCACCUGACAACGGCUCAGGAAAUUUCAGGUUCGAAUCCUGGCUAGCUCG